UCUUCCGGUACCGUCAUCCCCCCGCCGUAUUAGGGCUGAGGUUUUCUUUCCGGACAAAAGUGCUUUACAACCCGAAGGCCUUCUUCACACACGCGGCAUUGCUGGAUCAGGCUUGCGCCCAUUGUCCAAAAUUCCCCCACUGCUGCCUCCCGUAGGAGUCUGGGCCGUGUCUCAGUCCCAGUGUGGCUGGUCGUCCUCUCAGACCAGCUACAGAUCGUCGCCUUGGUAGGCCUUUACCCCACCAACUAGCUAAUCUGCCAUCGGCCGCCCCUGUAGCGCGAGGUCCCGAAGGAGCCCCCGCUUUCCUCCGCAGAGCGUAUGCGGUAUUAAUCCGGCUUUCGCCGGGCUAUCCCCCACUACAGGACACGUUCCGAUGUAUUACUCACCCGUUCGCCACUCGCCACCAGGGUUGCCCCCGUGCUGCCGUUCGACUUGCAUGUGUUAGGCCUGCCCCCCGUG
rnacentral:rRNA from 1 species